rnacentral:tRNA from 1 species
AUGUAGCUCAGUGGUAGAGUGCUUAUCUAGCAUACAUGAGGCCCUGGAUUCAAUCCCCAGCAU